AUUGAACGCUGGCGGAAUGCUUUACACAUGCAAGUCGAACGGCAGCACGGACUUCGGUCUGGUGGCGAGUGGCGAACGGGUGAGUAAUAUAUCGGAACGUGCCCAGUCGUGGGGGAUAACGUAGCGAAAGUUACGCUAAUACCGCAUACGAUCCAUGGAUGAAAGCGGGGGAUCGCAAGACCUCGCGCGAUUGGAGCGGCCGAUAUCAGAUUAGGUAGUUGGUGGGGUAAAGGCUCACCAAGCCAACGAUCUGUAGCUGGUCUGAGAGGACGACCAGCCACACUGGAACUGAGACACGGUCCAGACUCCUACGGGAGGCAGCAGUGGGGAAUUUUGGACAAUGGACGCAAGUCUGAUCCAGCCAUUCCGCGUGCAGGACGAAGGCCCUCGGGUUGUAAACUGCUUUUGUACGGAACGAAAAGGUCUCCAUUAAUACUGGGGACUUAUGACGGUACCGUAAGAAUAAGCACCGGCUAACUACGUGCCAGCAGCCGCGGUAA
rnacentral:rRNA from 1 species